GCUUACGGCCAUAUCACUUUGAAAGCACCGGUUCUCGUCCGAUCACCGAAAUUAAGCAACGUCGAGCCUAGCUAGUACUUGAAUGGGUGACCGCUUGGGACACCUUGGUGCUGUAAGCG
rnacentral:rRNA from 1 species